GUCACAUUGUGAUUUCAGUGAAAGCUGAUAAAUACAGAGGGCUGGACAGUGGUUUCAUUCAUUAGGUAAAGAGGUGGGACAAUGAUGCUGACAGGACAGGAGGAGGUGACAUUCAGGUUAGUGACAGUACAUCAGGGCCACCAUUUAAUUUAAUGUUAAUUUAAUUGCUUCCAAAAUCAAUACUUGACAAAUCUUUAGAAUUAUUUCUGCAAAGCUGAAUUUCUCAUAGGUGGAUAAAGUAUGACAGCAAUUGUGAAGACCUUAGACGUGCAGUAUAUGGUUCUUCUCUCUUUCAUUUAUAUUGAUUUGACUUAAUUUUAUUGGUAAAUAAUAAUGGGGAUAUUCCCAAUAUAAUAUAUUUUAAAUACAUGCUUAGAACAUAUCUCAUUUGCUCAUUUGCUUUGUAUCUAAAUGAAAAGUACCUCUUUAAGGUCUAAGCUAUGUUUCAUUUUAUUUAGACAUUCAGCGCAGACAUUUUCAUCCAAAGCAACUUGAGGAAGAAAACAAGCAGCAGUUCAUCCUAAAAGUGGGCUGCUGUAAUGUUUACAUCUAUGGAAAGAGGAGCUGAGAAGAAAAGAGAGGCUGGAAAGCAGUACUUCUUGUUGAGGACAAUCCUGAAUAGGAACACUUUCUCAUACACAUAGAUUAUUAUUAGUGUUUGAUUGUUUGUUUCAUUUUUAUGAAUUGUAUUGUUUUAAUUUUUUGUUUUAUUUGAAAUGACCUAAGUUAGAUUCAUGCUAAUACUUUAACUGGACCUUGUAUCUUUGCGUG